UACGUAGGCAGCAAGCGUUGUUCGGAGUUACGUGGGCGUAAAGGGUGCGUAGGCGGUUUGUUUAAGUUUGGUGUGAAAUCCUCCCGGACUUCAACUGGGAGGGUGCGCCGAAUACUGGAAUGACGUAGAGUGCGGGAGAGGAGGAGUGGAAUUCCUGGUGUAGCGGUGAAAUGCGUAGAUAUCAGGAGGAACACCGGUGGUGUAGACGGCUCUCUGGACCGUAACUGACGCUGAGGCACGAAAGCGUGGGUAGCAAACAGG
rnacentral:rRNA from 1 species